CCACUUGGAGGGUCAUCGGGAUUACGGAUCAUCAACUUCGGUUGCGCUUGAUCAGCAUCAACGCACACGAUUCGUCGGGCAACGAGGCUACGUGUUAAUUUCAUUCAUCACCUGUGGAUGGCAUAACAACCGUGAGAUCGUUCCAACCUACUCCUCAAUAUAUAAAAUCAUUUGCUGUACUGCAUAAUUUAAAAUCAUUUGUCAUUUUAUUCUUGUACAUUGCCUCUCAUUUUUAUUCUAUUUAUAUUCAUCUCAUUCAUCAUAAUCAACUAGAUUUUCUUAGUCUCAUUUAUCGUCAUAUUUGAACAUUAUAACGCCUGACAUCAUUCUAUAGCAAAAUUGCAUUUCUGUGUUAUUUCUUUUCUAUAUUGCCUGUUUGCUUGUGCCUUCUUUAAAACAUACACCUAGUUGGCUUCUAUUUUAUUUUAAGCUUUACUCUUUCUUCCUCAUUAUGUCCGAGUCUCAAAUAAAAACGUUGAUUAAAAAACGAGGUUCUAUAAAGGCCAAGCUUACACAAUUUUCGAAUUAUGUUGAACUAUCUAAAUCUUGUAAAAAAUUAAGCGAAUUGCAGACUAUAGAACUGGAGUUCAGGCUGGCUGCUAUUGAGGCCCUACAUGAAAAGUAUGACGCCUUGCAGGACGAGUUGGAGAUGUUGGCGGACGACCCCGACGAGCAAUAUGCGGAACGCGAAGAAUUUGAUAAACUAUACUGCAGUCUAGUGGCUACUGCUCGCCAGCUGAUCACUAUCGCGCGCAGAGAGUUGAAUGCAGACAUCGCGUCCGAGCGCUCGUGAAUGUGGUGGAUACUAACGGAAAGCUCCAUACCGCACGGGUCUUGCUGGACAACGGGAGCACAGCCAACUUUGUUUCAGAGGAUUUCUGCCCAGCUCUCAACCGAUUUAUUGCUCGGAGGGGGAAACCACGCCACAUCUUCUCGGACAAUGGUAGUACUUUCGUCGGGGCCUUCAAUGAGCUAGCACAGCUUCUAGCACAGGAUCUCGACCUAAAUAAAAUCGAUCCAGGAAAAAUCCAAAUGGCAUCGCUCUACCAGAGGAGAACUAAAGGAAGGGGCUCUCGUUGUAAUCAAGGACAAGACCUCUCCGCAUCUUAUGUGGCUGAUGGGACGAGUCAUCCGUGUGCUACCAGGGAGUGACGGCGUCGCAAGAGUUGCAGACAUACGCACACGCAAGGGUGUGCUCAGACGGGCAUUCAACACUAUUUGCCCCCUGCCUCUACAGUGACUCUACCUUGAAGACCACGGCUCUUCAACAGGGGGAGCAUGUUGGAGCCGCCUUAACUGCGGCUGAUGAACCGGUUGUGUAGCCGGACGCCAGAGGGGAGCCGCCGGAGAGGGGAGGCAACGGUCGUCGACCCACUCGGCAGUGCCACGUCCCGCAGUCGCGUCAAACCCUAUCAGCACGACACCCGCGCACGCGCAUCUACCUAUUUACAAUAUUUCCGCAUACGAUAACCAGUUACUUUGUGCUGUCAAUAAACAUUUAACUACA